rnacentral:ncRNA from 1 species
GCAGAGUAGGAAAACAGGCGUUAAGUGUUUGACGGACGGGGAGUUGCCGUCAGGACGAAAAACCGGAUGGUUUGCGGUCUGUUUUUCGCAUCCCGCUGC